rnacentral:tRNA from 1 species
GCCGAAGUGGUGGAAUCGGUAGACACGCCAUCUUGAGGGGGUGGUGUCCAAUCGGACAUACGGGUUCAAGUCCCGUCUUCGGCACCA